rnacentral:misc_RNA from 1 species
AACGCACAUUGCACCCUCUGGUAUUCCAGAGGGUAUGCCUGUUUGAGCGUCAUUUCGCUCUCAAAGUUUAUAAUUUUGGUGUUGAGUGAUACUCAAGGUUGUUACAACAAUGGGUUUGCUUGAAAAGUAUUGGCAGGAGGGAGUUACUUUUUCAAAGUGCUUACUGUUUAUCUCAAUGUAUUAGGUCUAACCAACUCGUUGAUAUUUAGGCAGUAAGUGCAAGUUUCUCAGCUCGGCCUUACAAUAGCUUACACAAAGUUUGACCUCAAAUCAGGUAGGAUUACCCGCUGAACUUAA